GAUAAGGUGGCUGAAGUUUAGGCUGUAAAUUGUAAAUUUAUAAAUGGUAUUAAACCUCUUAUCA
rnacentral:tRNA from 1 species